rnacentral:rRNA from 4 species
UUAAGCGACUAAGCGUACACGGUGGAUGCCCUGGCAGUCAGAGGCGAUGAAGGACGUGCUAAUCUGCGAUAAGCGUCGGUGAGGUGAUAUGAACCGUUAUAACCGGCGAUUUCCGAAUGGGGAAACCCAGUGUGUUUCGACACACUAUCAUUAACUGAAUCCAUAGGUUAAUGAGGCGAACCGGGGGAACUGAAACAUCUAAGUACCCCGAGGAAAAGAAAUCAACCGAGAUUCCCCCAGUAGCGGCGAGCGAACGGGGAGGAGCCCAGAGCCUGAAUCAGUGUGUGUGUUAGUGGAAGCGUCUGGAAAGGCGUGCGAUACAGGGUGACAGCCCCGUACACAAAAAUGCACAUAUUGUGAGCUCGAUGAGUAGGGCGGGACACGUGGUAUCCUGUCUGAAUAUGGGGGGACCAUCCUCCAAGGCUAAAUACUCCUGACUGACCGAUAGUGAACCAGUACCGUGAGGGAAAGGCGAAAAGAACCCCGGCGAGGGGAGUGAAAAAGAACCUGAAACCGUGUACGUACAAGCAGUGGGAGCCUCUUAAUGGGGUGACUGCGUACCUUUUGUAUAAUGGGUCAGCGACUUAUAUUCUGUAGCAAGGUUAACCGAAUAGGGGAGCCGAAGGGAAACCGAGUCUUAACUGGGCGUUAAGUUGCAGGGUAUAGACCCGAAACCCGGUGAUCUAGCCAUGGGCAGGUUGAAGGUUGGGUAACACUAACUGGAGGACCGAACCGACUAAUGUUGAAAAAUUAGCGGAUGACUUGUGGCUGGGGGUGAAAGGCCAAUCAAACCGGGAGAUAGCUGGUUCUCCCCGAAAGCUAUUUAGGUAGCGCCUCGUGAAUUCAUCUCCGGGGGUAGAGCACUGUUUCGGCAAGGGGGUCAUCCCGACUUACCAACCCGAUGCAAACUGCGAAUACCGGAGAAUGUUAUCACGGGAGACACACGGCGGGUGCUAACGUCCGUCGUGAAGAGGGAAACAACCCAGACCGCCAGCUAAGGUCCCAAAGUCAUGGUUAAGUGGGAAACGAUGUGGGAAGGCCCAGACAGCCAGGAUGUUGGCUUAGAAGCAGCCAUCAUUUAAAGAAAGCGUAAUAGCUCACUGGUCGAGUCGGCCUGCGCGGAAGAUGUAACGGGGCUAAACCAUGCACCGAAGCUGCGGCAGCGACACUAUGUGUUGUUGGGUAGGGGAGCGUUCUGUAAGCCUGUGAAGGUGGCCUGUGAGGGUUGCUGGAGGUAUCAGAAGUGCGAAUGCUGACAUAAGUAACGAUAAAGCGGGUGAAAAGCCCGCUCGCCGGAAGACCAAGGGUUCCUGUCCAACGUUAAUCGGGGCAGGGUGAGUCGACCCCUAAGGCGAGGCCGAAAGGCGUAGUCGAUGGGAAACAGGUUAAUAUUCCUGUACUUGGUGUUACUGCGAAGGGGGGACGGAGAAGGCUAUGUUGGCCGGGCGACGGUUGUCCCGGUUUAAGCGUGUAGGCUGGUUUUCCAGGCAAAUCCGGAAAACCAAGGCUGAGGCGUGAUGACGAGGCACUACGGUGCUGAAGCGACAAAUGCCCUGCUUCCAGGAAAAGCCUCUAAGCAUCAGGUAACAUCAAAUCGUACCCCAAACCGACACAGGUGGUCAGGUAGAGAAUACCAAGGCGCUUGAGAGAACUCGGGUGAAGGAACUAGGCAAAAUGGUGCCGUAACUUCGGGAGAAGGCACGCUGAUAUGUAGGUGAAGCGACUUGCUCGUGGAGCUGAAAUCAGUCGAAGAUACCAGCUGGCUGCAACUGUUUAUUAAAAACACAGCACUGUGCAAACACGAAAGUGGACGUAUACGGUGUGACGCCUGCCCGGUGCCGGAAGGUUAAUUGAUGGGGUUAGCGGUAACGCGAAGCUCUUGAUCGAAGCCCCGGUAAACGGCGGCCGUAACUAUAACGGUCCUAAGGUAGCGAAAUUCCUUGUCGGGUAAGUUCCGACCUGCACGAAUGGCGUAAUGAUGGCCAGGCUGUCUCCACCCGAGACUCAGUGAAAUUGAACUCGCUGUGAAGAUGCAGUGUACCCGCGGCAAGACGGAAAGACCCCGUGAACCUUUACUAUAGCUUGACACUGAACAUUGAGCCUUGAUGUGUAGGAUAGGUGGGAGGCUUUGAAGUGUGGACGCCAGUCUGCAUGGAGCCGACCUUGAAAUACCACCCUUUAAUGUUUGAUGUUCUAACGUUGGCCCGUAAUCCGGGUUGCGGACAGUGUCUGGUGGGUAGUUUGACUGGGGCGGUCUCCUCCUAAAGAGUAACGGAGGAGCACGAAGGUUGGCUAAUCCUGGUCGGACAUCAGGAGGUUAGUGCAAUGGCAUAAGCCAGCUUGACUGCGAGCGUGACGGCGCGAGCAGGUGCGAAAGCAGGUCAUAGUGAUCCGGUGGUUCUGAAUGGAAGGGCCAUCGCUCAACGGAUAAAAGGUACUCCGGGGAUAACAGGCUGAUACCGCCCAAGAGUUCAUAUCGACGGCGGUGUUUGGCACCUCGAUGUCGGCUCAUCACAUCCUGGGGCUGAAGUAGGUCCCAAGGGUAUGGCUGUUCGCCAUUUAAAGUGGUACGCGAGCUGGGUUUAGAACGUCGUGAGACAGUUCGGUCCCUAUCUGCCGUGGGCGCUGGAGAACUGAGGGGGGCUGCUCCUAGUACGAGAGGACCGGAGUGGACGCAUCACUGGUGUUCGGGUUGUCAUGCCAAUGGCACUGCCCGGUAGCUAAAUGCGGAAGAGAUAAGUGCUGAAAGCAUCUAAGCACGAAACUUGCCCCGAGAUGAGUUCUCCCUGAGACUUAGAGUCUCCUGAAGGAACGUUGAAGACGACGACGUUGAUAGGCCGGGUGUGUAAGCGCAGCGAUGCGUUGAGCUAACCGGUACUAAUGAACCGUGAGGCUUAACCUU